GCCGCUCUCCGCCUCUCUAGGCUCAGCUUCCAUCACCGCGUGGCGGAGCCCGUGUCCGGGCCAGUAUUUCUGCCUGUCACUUAUUAUCUGGUUGAGCUGGUGGCGGGAGUCCCGGCCCAUGUGUGUUACCAGAGGGAUGGUCUAGAGAAUGAAUCCAUCUGUCAGAGGCAUCCAAGAAGAAAGGCCUGGGCCAGGAUCACAUGGAAGACCCUGAAGACAGGAUCGGGUCUUGCCUGCCUGGAUUGAACAGAGACGCAGUGACCAGUCCCAUCUGCUCCCACCCUGCUGCCCUCUGAAUCGAGAGUUUGAGGCCAUGACCAGGGUAACGUUCAGCUGGUAGAGACAACACAACCCUGCUGGCUGUUUAAGCCAUGCUGGAGUGGUGCUCACAGGGUAACAAUUCUGAGUGAUGAACAGAAGCAGCACUUGAGCCAGACUCUGACCAAGAACUGCGGGCAGGCUAGAGCCACACAGAUCCCCGCCUCAGUAGACCGGCUGCAGCAGGAGGCACUCAGGAGCCCCAGAUGGUGAGUGAACGCGGAGCUGGGCAGCACAGAUGCAGGACGCUGCCUCCAUCGCAGAAAGUUCUCCUGGACGCCACUGUUCCAGAUCCUGAUGGUUCAAGUGCUACGGAUGCAAUAGCUCAGCGACUGGCAGCGCAGCACGUACCUGCUGUCGUGGGAGGUGAGAGCCACCAGUGCCCGACAGCGGCUGCAAGGCAGUGGUGGCGCUCUGCAGCCAGCCGGCCCACCCCUCCAACAUCUGCAAGGGGGUGGGAGGCUGCCUCACCAAGCUACCUGCUACUCAUGGGGGCGAUGGGCAUCAGGGUGGCCUGCCUGGAGCCCCGAGAGCACAUAGAAGCUGCCAGAUGAGGGCAGUGAGGCCGAGGGCCGGCAGUAGGGCUGCAGAUGCCCUGAGCCCUAAGGUCAAGGUGGAUGGAACUGCUGUGUAAGUCUGAUGCCGAGGAGACCAGGUCGUUGGGCUUUCAGCCCUGCGGCCGCCAAGUCUCAGGUUAGAGCUCCCUCUCGCGGCCGAUGCUGGGCACUACAUUGCCCAAGACCCAGGUGGGCCGAAGUCUUGAGAAAGGGCUCGCAGUCAUCGUCGCCAGCAGGCAGACACCAGUAAGGUUCUCACCUCUGUGACCAAUUACCUUGAGACUGAUGUCCUGCACCAUCCUGGAGUGUUGGGAUCUGCAGGUCGUGAAAAGGGAAACCAAGCAAUCACUUUGGAAUGACUUCCUGGAACUUCCCUGGCCCCUCCUUCGUGUUCUCUGAUGACAGCCAGGAGCUGACUCAGAAACCUCAUAAGAAGCUGAAGGCAUGACGACUUCCCUGUUAAAAAAAAAAUGUCCCACGUGUGGCCGAGUGCCACACCCAGGCAGCUGCCGAAAAAAAGCACCAGACACCAUGCAGCUGGGCCCCAGGGCCCGGCCCAACCCGGUUGGCCUUCUCCGGCACCUGCAGGGAACUUGUCCUGUCUUGUCUCUGCUCGCCCCCUGCUGGCUGCCUGGAGCCAUUCCGUGCUGGUUUCUUCGCGUCUUCUGUCAGGAGAGAGAUGCUGAUGCUUACUCAGGGAUCCGGCGGCUGUGACCCUGAGGCCCCGAGGUGGAUUAACAGAGCCCUCAGCACCGAGUCUCCAAGCUGAAGGCAGUGGUCACACUCCCUGCUGCCCUCCAGGUUUGGAGGGAUGGAGAGGAGAGAGGAGGGGAAGAAGCUACCUUCUUCACUAGCCUUGCUGAGAGACAAGUGGGUACGGCCCACAGGCACCUCCACCAGCCUGCCCUCUACAUCCAGAUUCGCAAGGCCAUUUCUGGAGAAGCCCUAGGACCACAGACCCACAGCAUCGACGGGGAGCUUGUUAGGAACGAAGACCCUUAGGCCCCCACCCAGGCCUGCAAACUUGUAAUAAGGGGGUCCCCGGGUGGUUUAUGUCCAUUAAAG